GGGAAAUCAAACGGGCUGGUUGCGCCCCCAACCGCCACCUGGCCUCUGCGCGAAAGGCGGGGCCGGGGGCGCGGCUCCGAAGGUUGCCCCUGACGACCUAGGUGGAGCGCGGCAGUCAGCAGCCUUAGGUCUGGCGGUGAGAGGCACUGCUAGCCCUCAACCUCUAGACCGACCUAGCCCAGACCCUGGCAGGCGUAGACGCCUUCUCCCGGACACCACCGUUGAUUCAUUCUCCUUAGAGGAUGUCCCGGCACAUGGGGCGACUGUAUCUGCUCGCAGGGCAGGCUGGAAAGCACCGCAAAACGAUUUAACCAACUCAACAGUUGUUUUCAUAAGCCUGGGCCCCUCGUUUUUAUGUUGUUUUUGAGACAAAGGGUACAUGUAGCACACAAAGCAGUUUUGCUGAGUUUUGAUAUGUCUAUCCAUGUAGGCAACACCCUAACCAAGAUAUGUUUUCCUUGCCCCAGGAAGUUCCCUGGAGCCUCUUCCAGGUAAUUCCAGCAUCUUCACCGGUCACAAUUCUAAUGUCUCCCACCGUAUGUCUCUCACGUCUAUGUACGGGGUGCUGAAGUGUCUGGUUUUGGCACAUGCAGUUUCCUCUGCUUCGAAUGCGCUCCCUCACCCCGUGUCUCUUAGGGUGGCCCUCUUCAAAUAUCAGCGGAACCUCCGUGUGAGGUUAGAGAUACAUGGGGAGACAGCCAUGAGACACUGAAGUCUUGAACAGGUAAAAUAUGGAAGGUGUUGGCUAUGGAGUAUUGAGCACCAAGUCUUGGCUGUUGCAAGCCAAGGAACUCCUGGGGCUACCAGAAUCUGGAAGAGCAAGGAAGGAUCCUCUUCUUUAAGCUUUGGAGGGAGAACAAAUAACUGCAUACAUCUUAACUUCAGACUUCUAUCUUUCAGAACUGGUCUCAUUAAGUUGCUGACACUGACCUGGAAUUUAGGAUCCUCCUUCU